GACUUCGAGUCCGACUGUUCCCUGGUCGGAGCAUCAGGGCGCCGGGGGGCUGAAACGGCUACUACUCCCGGGGGCGGCAGGCGCGUAAUUACCCAUCUGAUAGGGAGGUGGUGACGAGAUAUAACAACGCAUUUCAUUGUGAUUGUAGUGAGGUUUUUCCAACCGAACCACUAGUACGAUUAGAGGGCAAGUCUGGUGCCAGCAGCCGCGGUAAUUCCAGCUCUAAUAGCGUAUAUUAAAGUUGCUGCAGUUAAAAGCUCGUAGUUGGAUUUCAAGGAUUGUGUACUCUCUCAGAGCACGCACCUACUAGUCUUUGACUUGUUACUGUGAGAAAUUAGAGUGUUUAAAGCAGGCUAUUGCAAGAAUACAUUAGCAUGGAAUAACGAAUGUAUCCAGAUCUUGGUUAAUCCAGGACGAAAGAGAGAAGGGAAGAGAAUUGCAGAGUGAAUUCUUGACUCGCCCACCACCACCCCCGCAAAGAUCGCAAGAUGUUUCUUAUCAGACAAGAAAGGAUAAAGAUAUAGAUACUGUCGAGCCUAUCAUAACUAUGCGACUAGGAUUGAGUGAAUAUCCCAUUCAGACCUUUGAGAAUCGAGUCUUGGGUCUGGGGAUUGUCCCAAAUUGACCUAAAAUUGACGAGACCCAGAGUGGGCUGCGCUAAUGACCAACGGAACUACAGUCGACUGAGAUGCAUGAGCUUUC
rnacentral:rRNA from 1 species